rnacentral:tRNA from 2 species
GCCAGCGUAGCUCAGAAGGCAGAGCAGCGGUUUCGUAAACCGCAGGUCGUGGGUUCGACUCCCACCGCUGGCU